GGACAAUAUUGCCUUGCCAAUGAACUGGCAUGUUGAACACACAACAAGGAUUUAAGCUCUGCUACAGCUCGAGAAGAACCUUGACAAAAAUUCAUAAAAGAUCAACACUAUCAGGAUUGUGAGCAAAGUUUUGUCAUGGAGUGCUUCAGUACAUUCAAAAUUGCAACUGCUGGAUUGAAGAGAAUCAAAGAUAAUGGAGAAUGGGCAGAAAAAUGGACAUGACAAAUGUUGGCUAAGCCACAAUCCUAUUGAAAAGCAAAGCAUGCUUGAGGGUGCAACAAGCCUACUCCUGUUCACACACUUCAUGAACGAUCUUCUGGACCACUUUGUGGGAGGCUUGACAUGUGAGGUGGAAAGAUUCUAUUGGAAGACACUUCUGUGAACUCUUUGGAAGUCCUUUAACAAAGCAUGAAUCAUUCAACUUCCUUCAGUAAUUUGAUCCCAGAGAGAUGUGCCCUCUUAAUAAAAAUUAACUGAGAAUCAUUACAGUGAAAAUAUUCAAUAAUGAAAUGCUCGCAAAAAAAGAUUAGACUAAAAUCUGACAAGAUAAUUAACUUUCAAAUGGCAAUGUGAUAGUUCAAACAUAACUACAGUAUAGCAAGAUUUUAUCAAAGCUUUCCAUUGAGCUUGUAAAGCACACCUUAAACCCAUGUGGGGUGACAUAAUUCUUCCAAAAA